rnacentral:sRNA from 1 species
UCUGUUUCCUGAGAUGACUUAAACUCCCUACGCUUGAAUUUGCCUUAAGAGUGGAAAGGGUUGAGUAACCACAGGCCCAGAUUCAAGGGAAUGAACUCAGGUUAUCAGGCUUGUGUGUUGGUGACCUUUCCCCCUGAAACAGUGACGUUCAUCAUUCUAAAGGCAUCAUAAUUGUUGGCAAAAAUAGUUGGAAAUGGAGGAUAUUGUGUUAAGUGGAAUGUCCUACUUAGGGCUUCCAUUGCUGUGAACAGACACCAUGACCAAGGCAACUCUU